rnacentral:lncRNA from 1 species
GUUUGAAAUGCAAGAUGGCGGCGGCGGGGCUUUGAGAGGCGCGGCGGCCCCUGCAGGAGAAGACUGCUAACUACUUUGGACCUGUUGGUAAUGAUGGCCUGAGCUGUACACCUAAUUUGAAGGGUUACUUCCCCCCUUCCAUCUCAACAGAAUGCUGAGGAAGCAAUGGCAAGUGACUGGAGUUGUGCUUCAAAAAUUUCAGCAGUUCAGCAGUAUUUUAUCUGUCAACAAUAAGCUCUUUACUUGAUUGCACCAUGGAAAAGCUGCUAAUGAGACUUGUUGAGCACAAAAGUGGACUUGAAGAACCAGAAGCCAUUGUUUUCAAAUGAAGAAUCCUGAACAGUUUUCAGCCUCAAUGCUUUGAAACCACCACUG